GGCAGUUCUCAAGUGACACACCCCAGAACCAGAGAGGAGGGAGUCCAAUUCUGGGGUGCGUCACUGGAGAACCGCC
rfam:Myotis brandtii contig309772, whole genome shotgun sequence.